rnacentral:rRNA from 1 species
CAAGAGCGUAUAUUAAAGUUGCUGCGGUUAAAAAGCUCGUAGUUGGAUUUCAGUCUAGGAAGGUUAACUCGCCGAAAGGUUGUACGUUGAUUUUCCUCAGACUUCGUCAGAAGCUCGUGCUGCACUUAACUGUGUGGUACGAUGUUCUGACCUCUUACCUUGAGGAAAGUAAAGUGUUUCAGGCAGGCGACCCAGCUUGGAUACAUUAGCAUGGAAUAAUGAAAUGGAUCUCGGUUCGAUUUCGUUGGUUCUAGAGCUGAGGUGAUGAUCAAUAGGAACAGGCGAAGGUAUUCGUACUUGAGAGUGAGGAGUGAAAUCCGAUGAUCUCUUGAAGACGACCCGAGGCGAACGCACUUGUCAAGGAUGUUUUCAUUGA